CGCUGACAGGAAUACAGGCGCUACGUUUUCACUUGGUACGACCUGAACGCUGCAUCAACGUUAAUGAGACAAAAAAUAAGUUCAGCAGCGAUCACACGGCGUCCUCACCAAGGAGGAGGAGCUCUUCCUGCUGUUUCAUUGUCUCAGUCUCCGCCCCCACCUGUGCUGUCUGCUGAGGACGAACCUUUGAUGAGCAGGUAUCAGUGAUAUCUGCACAUGUUCAGACGUACCGCUGUGCAGAGAGCCAUCCUCUGGGAAGUCUGCGUCCAGCAUGAGAUCA